rnacentral:ncRNA from 2 species
UCUCCCGAGGAGCGCUGCAGCGGAAUCUCCGUCAGGCUCGGGAAAGAUUGAUCUUCUUAACGGCGCUCCCAAACG